UGCAAUGCUUGAAAAUUGUUAUCAAGAUGCAUAGAUAACACUGUUACUUUGCUCGUUAAAAAAUCAAUUAAACUUGAAUAUUUUAAUUUGAUAAAUUAUGUGUGCAGUCAUUAAUUUAUGAGCCAAUAGACUAAACAUUACAAAUUGUGGUAGAAUUGUCAAUGAGACAGCUACCUAAUAUAGAGUAAAUUAUGUUGAUGGUAGUUGCAAUAAGUCACAUUAGGGGCUUUUCCAAUAGUGAGCAAUACAAAUACCGUAUUUUAAGAAAGCUAAAAAAAUCCCAAAAUGAAAAUAUGUGAACCAUUUCAAACUAUAGAACUUACACUGUUAGGUCCGAUAGGUCAAUAAAUUUUGACAAAAGUCCGACGAUGAUAUAUGUUCUCAUUGUAGCUGUACCUGUGGAGGAAUGAUGUACUAGUCAGCCAGUAAACAACAUUUGCAAGAAACAGGAAGGAUAAAAAACACUUCCUUGUGAUGAUACAACAACGGAAAACAAUCUGAAUAUAAUGUUUCUUGUUUUAUUUGUAUGUUAAUUUUUUAAUUGAAAUAUGUUUGAUUGUGAUAACAUGAUAAGACAAACUGUGCUAACAAUGUACAAACACAUAGUUUAUCCACAAAAGAAUUAUGUCGUACAUUUUGAAUCACACUAAUCAUUCAAAAUGUUAUAUUUUCUUAUAACUGAUAAUAACUAAAUAUACUCACAUAUAUUAGUUUCAAAUGAGCUAGUUGUAUUUCACUGCUUAGAAUCGUUACACUGUUAUUAUUUGUUUUUUAUUAGUGUCCUUUGCUAGAAAUAUUACAUCAUGCAAUCCUUCAAAUUAGUUUACUUUUUCUUAAAAUCUUACAAUUCAUCUGGCUGUAGACCUUUACGUAUUGUAGAGCAUUACACUCUGAAGUCAAUUGAUUCCAAAAUUUUUUAAAUGUACUGUUUAGUUGUACCUUUGAUUUUCUUGUUGUCUAAUCAUGCGCGAUAUGAAUGUUAAAUGUCUAUACCUUACACUAUACUUUUUCAUCUAAAAUCGACAAUCAGACAAAUAUUGGAAUAAUCCAUUGUUUCGAUUAUGUAGCUCAUUAUCAUGUAGAUUCAAAUUAUUUUAUAUUUCAAACUUGAAACUGCUAUACAUAUUUUAGUAUUCUGUAUAUGUAUGUUACUGUUCUUGUUUUAUAGAAUACUAUGCUUAUAUUUG